rnacentral:misc_RNA from 1 species
AAGUCGUAACAAGGUUUCCGUAGGUGAACCUGCGGAAGGAUCAUCGUUGGUGUUUUUUGGAUGUUUUUGGACGUGGGUACUUUUUUCUUGCAAAUCCCAACCAAGAGGAGAGGAGUUGACUGAGGCUUGUGGAGGGAGAAAUACAAAACUUUCAACAACGGAUCUCUUGGCUCUCA